AGGAAAUGCGUAUUUUAGCAACCUAAUGAACGAGUUUGACGUUGACCAUGAUUUUACCACUGCAUUAUGCUGGUUUGAAUUCUUGUCCAUUCAAGUCCUGGUUUGAAUUCUGCUGGUUUACAUUUAUUGCUAUUUAUAUUUUGCUCUUUAAACCACUCACUAAAUCCUGGAUUGAAUUCUGCUGGUUUGAAUUCUUGUCCAUUCAAGUCCUGGUUUGAAUUCUUAUCCAUUCAAGUCCUGUUUUUGCAGGUGUUCUGGUUGCACUCAAGAGUACAAUCUCCAUCAUCCGAUCAUCGUCGACGAGGCCACCGACUUCUUCAAUAAACACGGCGUAUCUGACUUCACCUUCAAUACUUGUAGACUCUGGGGAUGGAGGUGCCGCGCAAAACUCGCAGUAAGUUUGAGUUCAGUCGUGUGUUUCUCUACACUUGAUUUUGAAGAGGGUUUUUCGCGAUCUGGGCCGUGGUUCAAUCCUCUGUUCAGUUCGAAUCUCAUUAGAGAAAGAAGUAAAACCGUCCUCGAAAGUACGUGCAGAUGUUGUAAGAAGUGGAUUCUU